AUCCCGCGCAUAUCCGGGUUACGAUAUGCACCUCCCUGUUGGACUGGACCCGGACUUGUUCCGGGUCUUUUUU
rnacentral:ncRNA from 2 species